rnacentral:rRNA from 1 species
UGAGGAAUAUUGGUCAAUGGGCGCAAGCCUGAACCAGCCAUCCCGCGUGCAGGAAGACGGCGCUAUGCGUUGUAAACUGCUUUUCCAGGGAGAGAAACUUGCGCACGUGUUGCGCAAUUGACGGUACCCUGGGAAUAAGCGUCAGCUAACUCCGUGCCGGCAGCCGCGGUAAUACGGAGGAUGCGAGCGUUAUCCGGAUUCAUUGGGUUUAAAGGGUGCGUAGGCGGACUAUUAAGUCAGUGGUGAAAUCCUGCAGCUUAACUGCAGAACUGCCAUUGAUACUGAUAGCCUUGAGUUUGGUUAAGGUAGGCGGGAUGUGUAAUGUAGCGGUGAAAUGCUUAGAUAUUACACAGAACACCAAUUGCGUAGGCAGCUUACUGAGCCGACACUGACGCUGAGGCACGAAAGCGUGGGGAUCGAACAG